rnacentral:rRNA from 1 species
CUGGCUCAGAUUGAACGCUGGCGGCAUGCCUUACACAUGCAAGUCGAACGGCAGCACGGGAGCAAUCCUGGUGGCGAGUGGCGAACGGGUGAGUAAUACAUCGGAACGUGCCCUGUCGUGGGGGAUAACUAGUCGAAAGAUUAGCUAAUACCGCAUACGACCUGAGGGUGAAAGCGGGGGACCGCAAGGCCUCGCGCGAUAGGAGCGGCCGAUGUCUGAUUAGCUAGUUGGUGGGGUAAAGGCCCACCAAGGCGACGAUCAGUAGCUGGUCUGAGAGGACGAUCAGCCACACUGGGACUGAGACACGGCCCAGACUCCUACGGGAGGCAGCAGUGGGGAAUUUUGGACAAUGGGGGCAACCCUGAUCCAGCAAUGCCGCGUGUGUGAAGAAGGCCUUCGGGUUGUAAAGCAACUUUUGUCCGGAAAGAAAUCCCUUGCUCUAAUAAAGCGGGGGGAUGACGGUACCGGAAGAAUAAGCACCGGCUAACUACGUGCCAGCAGCCGCGGUAAUACGUAGGGUGCGAGCGUUAAUCGGAAUUACUGGGCGUAAAGCGUGCGCAGGCGGUUUUGUAAGACAGGCGUGAAAUCCCCGAGCUCAACUUGGGAAUGGCGCUUGUGACUGCAAGGCUAGAGUAUGUCAGAG